rnacentral:rRNA from 1 species
UACGGAGGGUGCAAGCGUUAUCCGGAUUCACUGGGUUUAAAGGGUGCGUAGGUGGGCAGGUAAGUCAGUGGUGAAAUCUCCGGGCUUAACCCGGAAACUGCCAUUGAUACUAUCUGUCUUGAAUACCGUGGAGGUGAGCGGAAUAUGUCAUGUAGCGGUGAAAUGCUUAGAUAUGACAUAGAACACCAAUUGCGAAGGCAGCUCACUACGCGAAUAUUGACACUGAG